rnacentral:rRNA from 2 species
AAAUUGAAGAGUUUGAUCAUGGCUCAGAUUGAACGCUGGCGGCAGGCCUAACACAUGCAAGUCGAACGGUAACAGGAAGCAGCUUGCUGCUUUGCUGACGAGUGGCGGACGGGUGAGUAAUGUCUGGGAAACUGCCUGAUGGAGGGGGAUAACUACUGGAAACGGUGGCUAAUACCGCAUAACGUCGCAAGACCAAAGAGGGGGACCUUCGGGCCUCUUGCCAUCAGAUGUGCCCAGAUGGGAUUAGCUUGUUGGUGAGGUAACGGCUCACCAAGGCGACGAUCCCUAGCUGGUCUGAGAGGAUGACCAGCCACACUGGAACUGAGACACGGUCCAGACUCCUACGGGAGGCAGCAGUGGGGAAUAUUGCACAAUGGGCGCAAGCCUGAUGCAGCCAUGCCGCGUGUAUGAAGAAGGCCUUCGGGUUGUAAAGUACUUUCAGCGGGGAGGAAGGUGUUGUGGUUAAUAACCACAGCAAUUGACGUUACCCGCAGAAGAAGCACCGGCUAACUCCGUGCCAGCAGCCGCGGUAAUACGGAGGGUGCAAGCGUUAAUCGGAAUUACUGGGCGUAAAGCGCACGCAGGCGGUCUGUCAAGUCGGAUGUGAAAUCCCCGGGCUCAACCUGGGAACUGCAUUCGAAACUGGCAGGCUUGAGUCUUGUAGAGGGGGGUAGAAUUCCAGGUGUAGCGGUGAAAUGCGUAGAGAUCUGGAGGAAUACCGGUGGCGAAGGCGGCCCCCUGGACAAAGACUGACGCUCAGGUGCGAAAGCGUGGGGAGCAAACAGGAUUAGAUACCCUGGUAGUCCACGCCGUAAACGAUGUCUACUUGGAGGUUGUGCCCUUGAGGCGUGGCUUCCGGAGCUAACGCGUUAAGUAGACCGCCUGGGGAGUACGGCCGCAAGGUUAAAACUCAAAUGAAUUGACGGGGGCCCGCACAAGCGGUGGAGCAUGUGGUUUAAUUCGAUGCAACGCGAAGAACCUUACCUGGUCUUGACAUCCACAGAACUUUCCAGAGAUGGAUUGGUGCCUUCGGGAACUGUGAGACAGGUGCUGCAUGGCUGUCGUCAGCUCGUGUUGUGAAAUGUUGGGUUAAGUCCCGCAACGAGCGCAACCCUUAUCCUUUGUUGCCAGCGGUCCGGCCGGGAACUCAAAGGAGACUGCCAGUGAUAAACUGGAGGAAGGUGGGGAUGACGUCAAGUCAUCAUGGCCCUUACGACCAGGGCUACACACGUGCUACAAUGGCGCAUACAAAGAGAAGCGACCUCGCGAGAGCAAGCGGACCUCAUAAAGUGCGUCGUAGUCCGGAUUGGAGUCUGCAACUCGACUCCAUGAAGUCGGAAUCGCUAGUAAUCGUGGAUCAGAAUGCCACGGUGAAUACGUUCCCGGGCCUUGUACACACCGCCCGUCACACCAUGGGAGUGGGUUGCAAAAGAAGUAGGUAGCUUAACCUUCGGGAGGGCGCUUACCACUUUGUGAUUCAUGACUGGGGUGAAGUCGUAACAAGGUAACCGUAGGGGAACCUGCGGUUGGAUCACCUCCUUACCUUAAAGAA